GCGCCAAGGCCAAGAAGGAGGAGGACGACGACGACAUGGCCGAGCUGGCCGCGUGGGCCUCGUAGACGUCGCUGGUGCCUCCGCCCGCCCGCAGCACGCCCUAUUCCACCGCAAUUUUUUUUCAAGUAAUCCUCUCUCCUCAUCGGCGACCUUCAGCGCUAUGCGUAGCUGUGUUUGGGGUUUCGAAAGCGAGGUGGCGGCGUGCUGCCAUCUAUGGAACGCUGGGUGAACUUAAGCCUUUCUUGUGUGACGCACGGCAGUGGCGUGAUUUAGUGCCGAAUCGCAGAAUGCUACUCUGCACCACACAGAGAACUGUUGUCCUGCUCGGUUGGUCUCCAUUGUGAGUCUAACCUGGCAUUGUUUAGGACCUGCUGAGUGCAUCUACACCGCUGCGUUGUGGGCCCGCUUUAGAUAAAUAUGUGUGGCGUGACAGACGACCUCCCGGACUCAACGGGGGCGCUCUGAGUAGGUCGGUGCGUAGAGUGUGAACUGGAGUGGUUCGGCUGCGACUGGAGUUCGACUGUUAUUCUGCGUAGGUUCGACUGGAACUGUAGCGGCCUCUUGGAUAAGCAUCGCUGCGUCGGCAUCGCUCUCCCCCCGUGAUUUUCGAAUGCAAUUGGCGUACAGAACGACAAGAAGCGAAUGGUAACCAUGCUGAGAUAGCUCUAGGGUGGUCUUUCGCCUCGCUGGGCUGAAGUCGCCAGCACCCAGGCUAACGUGUUCACCAUACGUCCGUGGCGUCUAGCAGAAGCGCGCCGAGUUGGUCCGGCCUGGGUGGCCUCGAGCGGCUCCAGCGCCGAGCGCCCCCGCCGCCUGCGCCCUGCGCCGGCCGGUGGCCAGCUGACCUCGCCAGCGCAGAGCAUGGCGUGAUGGCCGGCGGCCCCGCGGCGCCACUCGGGUCACGUGACGGGUCGCCGUGCGGUAUCCGUGGGUGAUGUGUGCGGCUGGCUUGUAUCGCGCGCGCGGUUUGUCUGUGGCGUUUCAGAGAGCGGCGACGCCCGUGCCGGCUGCCACUGCUGACGACUGGACCGGACCUGACCUGACCUGAUCGGAUCUGACCUGACGUGACUGCUCUGUCCACUCCUGUCUUUCCCUGGCCCGCCUUCACACGGCCUGUCUUGACCAAAUCCGCCCUGACUGAAGCAAAAUCGAUUUGUUCUGUUGGGUUCGACGUGACGACCUGGCCUAACUUGACUUGAACUGGCAUGAUUCGACGUGAUCUGACAGACCUGACGUGCCGUGACCUGACGUGAUGUCAUCUGACCUGGCACGACCUUAACGCACGUGACAUGACAUGACCCGACCUAGCCUGACAUAAUGUGGCCUGACCUGGCAUGACGAGGCUGACCUGACCGGCGCCACUGGACUCGAUCUGGUGCGACCUUAAUGAGCAGUGGCGUGUGAGGCAGAAGGCCCGGCCGUGCUGCGUUGUGGUGUGGCUGUUGGGCCGUGCGAGGCCCCACAGCUGUGGUCUGGGUCCAGUGCGUUUGACGUGGAAUGUCGCCUCAGCCUUUGCGCCGUAAUACAGGGGAGUAAGCGUGCUGUUCGUGAA